GACGAACGCUGGCGGCGUGCUUAACACAUGCAAGUCGAACGGAAAGGCCUGCUUUCCCUUGUGGAUUGCGGGUACUCGAGUGGCGAACGGGUGAGUAACACGUGAGUGAUCUGCCCCCAACUUGGGUAUAAGCCUGGGAAACUGGGUCUAAUUCCCGAUAGGACUGCAGGGUGGUGCCUGUGGUGGAAAACGAUUUUCUAGUGGUUGGGGUUGAGCUCGCGGCCUAUCAGCUGGUUGGUGGGGUAAUGGCCUACCAAGGCGGCGACGGGUAGCCGGCCUGAGAGGGUGGACGGCCACAUUGGGACUGAGAUACGGCCCAGACUCCUACGGGAGGCAGCAGUGGGGAAUAUUGCACAAUGGGCGGAAGCCUGAUGCAGCGACGCCGCGUGGGGGAUGACGGCCUUCGGGUUGUAAACUCCUUUCGACCGCGAGGAAGCCACCUGGUUGGAAGGGUGGUGACGGUAGUGGUAGAAGAAGCACCGGCUAACUACGUG
rnacentral:rRNA from 1 species